AGGUGGCGGGCGUGCUACACAUGCAAGUCGAACGCCCUUUGUCUCGCAAGAGAGGGAGGGAGUGGCGGACGGGUGAGUAACACAUGGGUGACCUACCCCGCAGUGAGGAAUACCGGCGAGAAAUCGCCGACAAGACCGCAUAGGCUCUCUUUGGUCGAGCCAAGAGAGCAAAGUCUCGCAAGAGACGCUGAGGGAUGGGCCUGUGGCCGAUUAGCUAGUUGGGGGGGUAAGAGCCUCCCAAGGCCACGAUCGGUAGCUGGUCUGAGAGGACGAACAGCCACACUGGGAUUGAGAACGGCCCAGACUCCUACGGGGGGCAGCAGUGAGGAAUUUUCCGCAAUGGGCGCAAGCCUGACGGAG
rnacentral:rRNA from 1 species